CAUCCCAGCUAGCAGAUGCUAGUUAUCAUGCUUUUUACGAUCGUUUGUGAUGAUUGUUCGUUCAGUCGCCGAGAGGGAGCGCGAGCGGUUAGUGAGCGGUUCAAAAAAGCACGGGACAACAAUACGCGCGUCGAGUGCGACGAGAAUUGUCGGGAUGGUGAAGUUGCGGUGCGGAUAUACUCGGAAUUAGUACCGAGCAUAGUGGUGUAUAAAGGAAGCAGGUCGCAGGAUCGACCUGAGAGUCCCACGGUGGUGGUGCGAGGAGGAAUGCCCUCACUGCCAUCCUCCAGGCAAGGCCUCGCCGUAAGUGGCUCCGGUGGUGGUGCACCUCACCAGGACGCCUCGGAGUCGGAUAUGAUAGACGGGAAUGCCAACCCUAACGCCGGCACCUCCCCCGCACCGAAUUCACUCCACCGUCCCGCGCCUUCCUGCCCGCCGCCCGACAAAUCGGACACCGAGAGCAAGAACUUUCGCAAUCGGACAAAUACGAAACUGAAAUUGCUGGUCAGAAGCCAUGCCAUGAGAGAGUCAACGUCUCCCCCACGGGAGCCACACGGCAACGGUCCACCGUCGCCGCACAGUCCCCAAUCGGCAGACAGUGAGAAGAAGAUCGUGUGCAGCCUCUCACCUAACUCGACAAAGCUCAAUAACAACGAGUCGAUGUUCAACAGCAACCUCUGUCCCGCUCAAUCUCCCAAGCAAAUGCGCAACACAGCGACCUCACCGACCUGCCGGACACCGUCGCGAAAUGGUCAAUCUAGUCCCUCUCAGAUACACUCACCAAAGAACAUCACUUCUCCGACUAAUGGUAACAAAUUCGAGAACCAUCGCUCCAAGUUCGCGGGCGCAAAUGUCAUCCAGAAAUGCAAUAAUUGCGUGAAGAACAAUCAGAGCGAGCGGCCGGGUCUGCUACAGACGCCGGUGUCACCUUCCAAGAUCGGCCAGGCAUUGCAGCACUCGCCAAAGAGCACCAAUCUCGCCCUGAGCGCGCAGAAUCAGCACAAUCAGCACAAGUCCGAGCAACGCAGACCGAACACGCUGAAUAUCUACAAUAAUCAAUGCUCGGCGCAAUGCAACACGCUCUCGGUGAGCAGGCCCGGCUCUAGGCACAAAUUGAGACAUCAGAAUUCGUCCCAGGGCAGCUACGACAGUGCAUCACCAUGCCUUUCGCGCGACAGCAGCACAGAACUGUACACGGACAGCACCGGGAUAGAUCUGGAGCAGUUCAUUGCAGAAACCAUAAAUCGCAAUCACAAGGAUCGCACGGUGUUGCUGAGGAUCGAAAAAGAGCUGAUCGAAUUCGCAAAAGACCGACAGAAGGUCUCUCACAAAUUUCCGACCAUGUCGUCGUACAACAGGAUGCUGGUACAUCGAGUAGCAGCUUACUUCGGCAUGGAACACAACGUCGAUCAGUCGGGUCAAAGCGUCAUCAUCACGCGGACGAAGAACAUGCGGAUACCGGACAUGCGUUUCAAGGAGCACAUCAGGGAUGACUUGAUCUUGUCGGAGGAGCCACGACGAAGUAUCCUAAAACGGGAUUCCAGUUCGUUCGAGGAUAGCUUCAACUUUAAGUCGCCGGACAGAUCGAGCGAUUACUGCCGGCGUAGCAAAAGUUUCGAAGAGCGGGAGGAGGAGUACGCUCGGGCUAGACGAAGGAUAUUUAAGGAUAGCAGCGGCGAGAGCAGCGAGGUCGCGUCUUGGACAUGGUCCUCAUUAGAAAGCUCGGACACAUCGGCGAGAUAUCGCUUAUUACCCCCCUCGGAUCACCUAAUAAGGCAAAAUCGACUUCUGAAGGGUGAAUCCUUUGAUGGGCGAGAUUCGUUCCGUGGCGCAGUGUUGCGUCCGUCAGUUUCUAAGUCAUUCAGUUUUGGUGGAUACACCAAAGGUAUGCUGUCGAGGGGAGACAGCGUCACAUCUACGCACAGCGCAGGAGCUCGCCUUAUGAAGCAAGACUCGGGUGCCAGUGUGUGUUCACGCUUAAGCCCGUCGAGUAGCGGCUACAAAUCUCAAAGUCAACGCAGCGAUGCGACAAUCUCGCCGUCUCCUUCGCCCUCCCCAGUGCCGGCUGCUGUAACAUGUAGCCACACUCAAGUAUCUAGUCAGGACUUAGGUUCGCCGGAGUCGGGUGGUGGCCAGACAGUUAUGUGGGCAAUUACUAGUCUAUCCAGUGUACCGCCCGGCAGUAUAAUAAUAAACCCGCAGACCAAUCAACCAUGUACGAACGCGGACGGCUCGAUUUAUCGCUACGAUCCGGACAAUCCGCCAAAGUUUUUCGCCAUCGAGAACGAGAGUGGCAAUAUACCUGCGGCUAACAAACAACAACAACAGCAACAACAACAGCAGCAGCAGCAGCCACAUGCGGAGCUACCCUCCGAGCCGUCCAGAGUGACAAGUGGUAACUUUAAGAACGAAGGUAAAAAGCAGCGAUCGUCGCAGUCGAAGAUUAACACCAGUGUAACAUCUGGAGCUCAAGUGACGAACACAGCGACGUCGCCAAGUCUGCCGUUCACGCCGCCACCACCACCGCCGCCACCUCCUCCUCCAUCUAUUCCACAGAAUCCACCCAUUCCGCAGCAACAAGUGCAGCAGCAACAGCAGCAACAACAAAUGCAACAACAAAUGCAACAGCAGCAGCAACCGAUACCGCAACAAAGUCUAGUCAAGUCGUCGGCGACGAUUCAGACGUGUAGUCAUACUAACCAAACGGCUCAACAACCGUACGCGACCUACGUACCUACCUCAGAACCGUACAACCAGGGUGUCUAUCCGCCCCCUGUGGGGCAACCGACUGUGAUGAUGGCGCCUCAUCCGACUCAGGGUCAAGCAAACAGUCAGGCGGAUGUUGUCUUCAAUCAGAAUCAGCUCUAUGCCAAUUAUGCGAUGUCUGUGCACCAAGGACCAAUACCGCAGUCAACGGAUGUGGCUGAUUUGUCCGGAUAUUUCUUGGGGAUGAAUAUAUACGAUCAGCGUGGUAAUGGAGACAGUCAUCCGACACCACCGCAUUCGACGUAUCCUCAACCGCCGCCGUCUGCGAAUCAGACCGUACAGAACGUGCAAACUGUACCACCGAACUAUUGGCAACCACCGCCGAAUCAAAUACCGCCCCAGCAGACCAUGUACUUCGUACCUCCGCCUGGAACAGCGAUUUCCGUCGGUCAGAAUCCGGGCGACAGGCAGCAGCUACAACAGCAGAGGUUCCCGACGAAUUACUCCUUCAAUGCGCAAACGAUGACUCCUCCGAGCCAAGCAAAUUCUAAUUACGUGGGCAGUUACCCAGUAGCGUACAAUUCGGUACCGGCAGUAACCACGACACCGGGCGACUAUACGUAUCAACCUCCGGUCCACAUGGUUCCUACGUACUAUCCGCCAGCGCAACCAGCGAUGCAGCCGCCCAUGGUGUACCGAGUACCCACGCCACCAAACACGCCAACGUCGAAUCAGAUACCCAGUAUGCCGCUGAUGUACGUCAACUCGAGCAAUUACGCGCCUCCGGCGAUGAUGUCCAGUGGAACGUUUGGUCAGGUCGCGCACAACGCCGCGUCCUCCGCGCCAACCGGCGCGUAUAUGGCACCCACGCUCGUUCCCAAUUUCGUUUUCAGGCAAAACGUUUCUGUCGUUCCCGGUGUUCGAGCGACAACGCCAGCCAACUCUCAAAGAGCCAGUCGAUCCCCAACUCCGGCGCACGAGCUCUUCGGAGGCGGGAGCGGGGACCGAAGCGCACAAUCUCAACCACGUUACCCACUGCCAAUGUACCAGGGUGUCCAUAUCGUGCAAGGGGAUAUGAGAUUGAUGCAUCCUGGCAUACCAACCAAUCCACGGUUGCAAUACGCACCGGUAUCAUCACCGCCUGUUGUUCAAGGUUGCCCGCGAUCGUACAGGCCACCGUCUUAUUCAUCUAAUACCUCGGGCGCCGGCACACCAACUUCCUUUGACGGCAAGAAUCAGAAGAUUCGCAAACAGAGGUCCAAAGUAACGUCUUUGCCACCGAAUGGCACGCGGCCAAAUCUGUACCAGACGCCUUCCAUACCGUCGCUCUCGACAAACGUACCCAAAGACAUCAGAGAAGCGAAACCUGUGGAAGACAGUAUGAUAUAAGGUACAGAACUUAAAUAUAAAAUACUACACAGAACACAGUGUCUUCUUCGUAUGAUAGGGGCUUCUUCACGAACGGUGAAGGUGACAAUCAAUCGUCGGAAUCAACUGGUAUAAUAUUGAGCGAAAAGGGUGGCCGAGAUAACAUCAUAAGGAUAACGCGAAUCGCGAUAUCUUGAUCAUCCAACAAUUCGACAUUGGCAACCUAUUUUAUCCGACACGAUGUAUUCUUAAUGUUACAUUAAUUCUUAUCGAAAUUAUUAGGAAAGUCAAACGGUGCACGUAUAUUGAGAUAUAUGUGUGCACAUUGAGAAAGAAUAGUAUACCGUAAAGCGAGCUUUUUUCUCUUUUUCUUUUCGGUGCAAAGAUGCAAUCUAACUCUUAUCGAAAGUAGUAUCGCGAUCGCGCUGAACAAAUUCUGAAUUUACCAUGACACCCAUGCAAAAGCACGAAACGAGGGAGGAGAGGAACGGGAUGUGAUCACAUGCGUAUUACCCGGUGUAAAAAAAUGAACGAAGAAUUUGUGGUGCAGCUAGAAGACAGAGUUUCUGGACAAGAGAAUUUUAAUUACUACAAUAUUAUACAUGUAUGUAUAUAUAUGUACAUAUAUAUUAUAUACAUAUACAGUAUAUAUAUACAAUAUAUAUUAUAUGUGUGUGUAUAUAUACAUAUAUAUGGCAUAUAUAUUAUACUUGAAGAUAUUUUAACUGCGAUUUUACAGAUACUAUAUGAAUGUGAGAUUUACUUUUAAGCAUUAUCGUUAAGGUUCAAACAAAUACACGAAUUUCCCGAGGCGGUCGUCACGAUUCUCGAUCGCCAAGAGAAUGGAUGCUAAUGUACGGCAAAAGAGGAGAAAAAAAAAGUACAUUUUACUGAGUACGUUUACAACGCACGCGAGUCCCCCGACUCGGUUGUUAGUCGCGAUUCAACAAAAAUGAAUAUUCUAUUACAUACUAUCUAUUACCCGAUAAUUUUUUGAUACGCGCUGCCAUUGUGCAUCGGUCAACGAAUGUUGCGUUACAUCGCUGCCCAUUCCGAGUACGUUUUUCGAACGAGUUAUUUGCUACCUCAGCGUGAUAUUUACGAAAAAAAUUCUAAAAGUUGUCGCGCGUUGACGAUGCCAGUCCUCUUACGCUUCUCUCUUAGAUUACAUGCGACUCGUAUCUAUGCGCUCUAUGAACAAUGAAACGUACACAGAAAAAGACUUUGCAGAAGUGACGUUUAUAUAUAAUUUCAUAUGAACUUAUACCCGAGAACUUGCUAUUAUGUUUUGCGAAAUGUCAUAAUGAACUUUAUGAGAAAAGCGAAAACGAAAAUAAUAAUUAUCUGAAUAAAUGCGAAUAUGUAAUACUUUACACUUAUCCUAUAAUAUGCGUAAUCAGGAGCAUCCCGAUCGAUCAUUGUAAUUCACGAUUAUAUCAACGAACGUCACUAACUUAAGUAAAUAUGUAAACGUAUUCAGUACACGGUCUCUAUGUCUAGUUUCGAGCAGUAGUUAAGUAGCGUGAAGCCAUCACAGCCUGAUUCCACAAGAAAUCAACUGCACUUCUUCCUUCCAAGAAAAACCAAAUCGAAUUCUUUCCAAUUUCCUUUUUACUCGUGAUAAUUUGUCGCGUUAUCAUUGGCACGUAACAACAGACUUAUUUCGGUGAUUUCCACACGUUUCCUUCACGAUUGUCGUUAUCGUAAAAAUUCGCGAUACGAUAAACCGACGUUUCUCACAUCUAUAAUUCGUCUUCCAAUAUGUGCAAGCACUCUUCAUGAAGAUUUCACGGAAUCUCCUCUCUUUUUCUCUGUUACCUCAGUCACUCGCAACAGACAUAUUUCUCGCACACUCGUUCCAACGAAAUAGAGGCAUAUGUGUUAUAUGAUGUAUCGUACACCAGUAGCGGUGAUGGUGACACGCGGUCGUGGUAAUUAAUAACGUCUCCGUCUGUGAAAACUAGGCAGACCAGCGCGGGCAGAUCUUGCGUUAUAUAGCACAUUACUAGCACAUAAUGAUAUCCUGUACGUGUUACUUUAUGAAACUUGCGCCGGUCAAAAUAGAUCUUCGCGAGUAGCCAGAUUAGCCGCGAGAAAAUGGACAAAUUGAGUCGUUAGUCGAGUUAUUACUUCGUAGGGUAGAUCGCGGUGAUCGCGCGAGGGUUGUCCGCGCUGCUCCGCGACACAAAACCAAGUGGAAUCCAUCCAGAAGCUUCGCUUACGGUGAUUGUACUUCAGAAACGUAGGUGAAGGUGUGCCUAUCUUUUUAUGAGAAUCUGAGUAAACAAGAAGGAGAACGCGCGCGAAACCUAUUUAUCUUUGACCGAAAACGCAAAAGUAUAGGAACUAUCUUUUCUUUUUUUUUCGUGAGAAAGCGCGACAAAGACUUUAAUCUCGUUACAUAUAGGCUUAAAGAAGGAAAAAAAAA